rnacentral:rRNA from 1 species
ACAAUGAAACUGCGAAUGGCUCAUUAAAUCAGCUAUGGUUCCUUAGACAAUGUUACCCUACUUGGAUAACUGUGGUAAUUCUAGAGCUAAUACAUGCAACAAAGCCUGUGCCUUACGGCAUGGGUGCACUUAUUAGAUCAAAACCAACCAGGCUUCGGCCUGACGUUUUGAUGACUCUGGAUAAUUUACCUGAUCGCACGGUCUUUGUGCCGGCGACAUAUCUUUCAAAUGUCUGCCCUAUCAACUUACGAUGGUAGGUGACCUGCCUACCAUGGUGAUAACGGGUAACGGGGAAUCAGGGUUCGAUUCCGGAGAGGGAGCCUGAGAAAUAGCUACCACAUCCAAGGAAGGCAGCAGGCGCGCAAAUUACCCACUCCCAAAACGGGGAGGUAGUGACGAAAAAUAACGAUGCGGGACUCAAUCGAGGCCCCGUAAUUGGAAUGAGUACACUUUAAAUCCUUUAACGAGGAUCAAUUGGAGGGCAAGUCUGGUGCCAGCAGCCGCGGUAAUUCCAGCUCCAAUAGCAUAUAU